GACGAACGCUGGCGGCGUGCCUAAUACAUGCAAGUCGAACGAGUGGCGAACGGGUGAGUAACACGUGGGUGAUCUGCCUUGCACUUUGGGAUAAGCUUGGGAAACUGGGUCUAAUACCGGAUAGUGCAAGAUGAGCCCGCGGCCUAUCAGCUUGUUGGUGGGGUAAUGGCUACCAAGGCGCGACGGGUAGCCGGCCUGAUAGGGUGUAAUGCCACGUUGGAACUGAGACACGGCCCAGACUCCUAAGGGAGGCAGCAGUGGGGAAUAUUGCACAAUGGGCGCAAGCCUGAUGCAGCCAUGCCGCGUGUAUGAAGAAGGCCUUCGGGUUGUAAAGUACUUUCAGCGAGGAGGCGUUACUCGCAGAAGAAGCACCGGCUAACUCCGUGCCAGCAGCCGCGGUAAUAC
rnacentral:rRNA from 1 species